rnacentral:rRNA from 1 species
CAGCAGCCGCGGUAAUACGAAGGGUGCAAGCGUUAAUCGGAAUUACUGGGCGUAAAGCGUGCGUAGGCGGUCUGUUAAGUCUGUUGUGAAAUCCCCGGGCUCAACCUGGGAAUGGCAAUGGAUACUGGCAAGCUAGAGUGUGUCAGAGGAUGGUGGAAUUCCCGGUGUAGCGGUGAAAUGUGUAGAGAUGUGGAGGAACACCGGUGGCGAAGGCAGCCCCCUGGGCCAAUACUGACGCUCAUGCACGAAAGCGUGGGGAGCAAACAGGAUUAGAUACCCCAGUAGUCCCUGUCUCUUAUAC